rnacentral:lncRNA from 1 species
CGUUCAGAGACCUAGUGGCCCAUAAUGACUGUCAGAGUAACUUCAGUGAGGAUAAUUAAAGCACAGCAUAUUUUGUCCAUAUCCCUGAUUCCUCCUUGUUACCUUAUUCUCAGGAUACUGGAAGCUGUCAGACGGUGGAGGCUGGGUAUAAAGCUGCUCCUGUUGCUUAUAGUUAUAGCAGCUGUCAUCAUGUGGCAGGUUUACUGCUGAUGGAUCUCAUUGGUGUAUACACAGCUGUGCAUACCUGGCACACAAGUAUGUCAGUAAUAACAGUGAACUCAGCAAAUAAGAAGUACCUAACAGGACUAUACUCUCAUUUGGCUCUUACAAUAUGAAAAGAAUCAGAAAACAUUUAGAAGACAUGAUGACGCUGGGAUUUCAGUAGUUGGCAGCUUCAAUACUGUAAUAUUUUUGGCAGGUGGUAUCAGCUACAAGGCUACAUUCAUUGGGGCAAAAGUCAAAGGAGCUACAACAAGGAGAUAUAUCAAUAAACACAUAUUUGUUAGAUAUAUUACUGGGUUU